CUCUUUCCAGCCGCCCUGUGGGGAAGGUGUCUUGCUUCCCCUUCACCUUCCACCAUCAGUGUAAGUUUCCUGAGGAUUCCCCAGCCGUGCUGAACUAUAAACGAUGAGGAAAAAUUGUUCUUUAUUAAAGAGUUCCAACUAAUAAAUACUGGAGGGCUGAUAGAAUUAGGAAAUAUCCAUUUUGCUAACUGUGAUGAAAUAAUGGAUCCAGGAGGUGAUCAUCAACGGCUGCUAAAACUGUGAAGACUGAUGAGAAACUCUGCAAUGAAGGGAUCAGAUAGACAUCACCAAAACCCACUAAUCAGUACUAAAGUCAGCAAACAUAUACAAUUGGGAAUCCUGGGACUCUAGAUUUGCUAUAUAGGUAGUGUAUUCAAUACCUAUGAGAGAUUCUUAUUACACACAUAAAUACAUCCUUUGGACCUAACUACAUGACAUAAUGAUAAACAACACGACAAAAAAAUCAACAAAUAAAGAAUUUAGGACAAUCUACAGGUCGAAUAAUUCAUCUUGACUUGCAAACAGAUGACAUAAAAAUCUUGGGUGGAAAUAGGAGAAAGGGAACUGUCGUGGAUCACAAGAAUCUUAGGAGACUACCAACCAAAUGCAGUGGAUGAAGCUUAUUGCAUCUCAGUUUAAUCAAACCAACUGUAAAAAUGCAUUUUUGAGCCAAUAAGGUGAAUUUGAGUGUGGCCUAUUUAUGAGAUGAUUUUAUACAUUAAUUAUUAAUCUUAUGUGUGAUAAUGACAUUAUGAUCAUGUUUCUGUAACAGCCUCUUACCUAUUAAAGACACAUAAUCAGGUAUCUGGACUUGAAAAGAUGUGAUAUCUGGGAGAUGCUUUAAAAAUAUGAGGGAUAAACAAAAGUGGUAGGCUCUUGAAGAUUGCUGAAGCUGGAGAUGGGUAAUGGGAGUUAUCUUCUGGUGUUCUUUUGUGUUUGAACUAAAAAUAAGCAAAACAUCUGUUUCUAACACAUAGCAGAUCUUAACGAAAGAUUUCUUAUCUUUUUAUUUUUAACCCAAAUUAUGUUUUGGAGGUCAGACUUUCUCCCUGGCUAAUGUUUAUGAGCAUGGGGGAACCACUCGCAGCCUGGUUUGGGUGGCCAUGGGAAGGGAGGAGAGAAAAGUGUUUUAAAGGAGAAGAGUGGUACAAAACUAGGAUGUGCCUGGGCAUGCCAAGGUGAUCUUUGUUAUUUUUCUAUUUUGCUGGCCCAGAUCACUGGCUAUCUUCACAAAUGUAUGCAGUGUCUUCAUGUAAAUUAGAAAUAGACUUGCCAGGAUGUGUGGUGAAGAAGAGGAUUUUGUAGGAUUUUAACUCCUCCUUACCCAGAAAGCUGGUUAAGAGGCAUAAACAAUACAGACACAUGAAGUGUGGACCCCGGCCCUAUUGUCAGGUGCAGAGAAGAAAAACAGACCGUUGAGAUUUUUGAGUGGUCUGAGAGAGAUAGCUCACCCUUCAUACACACCC
rnacentral:lncRNA from 1 species